CUCUUCUUGAUUUGUUUUUUGAAGUAUGGCCUGCCCACUGAUAUUGUUUGAAGGGCCGCGGUAUUUUGACCGUGCAAAGGUAGCAUAAUCAUUAGUUCUUUAAUUGUGAACUGGUAUGAAUGGCUUGACGAGGUGCUGACUGUCUUUGUGUUUAAAAGUUUUGUUGAAUUUAGUCUUCGGGUAAAAAUACUCGAAUUUUGUUGUGGGACGAGAAGACCCUAUAGAGUUUCAUGUGACUUUCUUUUUUUUGUUUGUUGUUUCUUGUUGAGUUUGGUUGCAUUUUGUUGGGGUGAUGGGAAAAUAUAUUUAACUUUUCUUUUUAAUGUUUCACUUAUUUGUGUUUUCGU
rnacentral:rRNA from 1 species